AUUGAACGCUGGCGGCAGGCCUAACACAUGCAAGUCGAGCGGAGCGGCGGACGGGUGAGUAAUGCCUAGGAAUCUGCCUGGUAGUGGGGGAUAACGUCCGGAAAGGGGCGAUAAUACCGCAUACUAUCAGAUGAGCCUAGGUCGGAUUAGCUAGUUGGUGGGGUAACGGCCUACCAAGGCGACGAUCCGUAACUGGUCUGGGAGGUGGAUCAGUCACACUGGAACUGAGGCACGCUCCAGCCUCCUACAGGGGGCAACGGGGGGGACUAUUGGUCAAUGGUCGAAACCCUGUGACAGCGACGCCGCGUUCGGGAUGACGGCCUUGGGGUUGUGAACCGCUUUCAGCCAUGACGCGGUAGUGGCAGAAGAAGCACCGGCUAACUACGUGCCAGCAGCCGCGGUAAUAC
rnacentral:rRNA from 1 species